rnacentral:rRNA from 1 species
AGAAUCAACGCUGGCGGCGUGCCUAACACAUGCAAGUCGAACGAGAAAGUGGGAGCAAUCCCACGAGUAAAGUGGCGCACGGGUGAGUAACACGUGACUAACCUACCCUUGAGUGGGGGAUAACCUAGGGAAACCUGGGCUAAUACCGCAUAAUACCUACGGGUCAAAGGAGCAAUUCGCUUUAGGAGGGGGUCGCGGCAGAUUAGUUAGUUGGCGGGGUAAUGGCCCACCAAGACAGUGAUCUGUAUCCGGCCUGAGAGGGCGCACGGACACACUGGAACUGAAACACGGUCCAGACUCCUACGGGAGGCAGCAGUGGGGAAUUUGCGCAAUGGGGGAAACCCUGACGCAGCAACGCCGCGUGGAGGAUGAAGCCCCUUGGGGCGUAAACUCCUUUCGAUCGGAAGAUAAUGACGGUACCGGAAGAAGAAGCCCCGGCUAACUUCGCGCCAGCAGCCGC